AAAGGGGCGGGGCUCGCGAGGCGGAAUGGCGGGCCUGAGAUGAGGCCGGCCCGUCGGAUGUCAGCAGACUCUGUGGAAGGAAGACCGCACCGACCGCUCCUCUGCAGAAAGAAGAGAUUGCAGAGAAAAUGGAGGAGACCGUGCCGUGAUCAAGGAGGAGGAGAGACUUGCAACUGAACGUGAAGAGGGCUUCCAGCGUCGGCUGGGUUAAGGACAAUCUGGGCUUUUUUAGAGCCACAGCUCUCUAGAACUAAUAAGUUCCAGGGGGCGGCAGAUUUGUGUGCAGGCAAUCGAUCGAUCGAUGUGGA